rnacentral:rRNA from 1 species
GACGAACGCUGGCGGCGUGCUUAACACAUGCAAGUCGAACGGAAAGGCCCUGCUUUUGUGGGGUGCUCGAGUGGCGAACGGGUGAGUAACGCGUGAGUAACCUGCCCUUGACUUUGGGAUAACUUCAGGAAACUGGGGCUAAUACCGGAUAGGAGCUCCUGCUGCAUGGUGGGGGUUGGAAAGUUUCGGCGGUUGGGGAUGGACUCGCGGCUUAUCAGCUUGUUGGUGGGGUAGUGGCUUACCAAGGCUUUGACGGGUAGCCGGCCUGAGAGGGUGACCGGCCACAUUGGGACUGAGAUACGGCGCAGACUCCUACGGGAGGCAGCAGUGGGGAAUAUUGCACAAUGGGCGGGAGCCUGAUGCAGCAGCGCCGCGUGCGGGAUGACGGCCUUCGGGUUGUAAACCGCUUUCGCCUGUGACGAAGCGUGAGUGACGGUAAUGGGUAAAGAAGCACCGGCUAACUACGUG